rnacentral:rRNA from 1 species
GGAAUUUUGGACAAUGGGCGAAAGCCUGAUCCAGCCAUGCCGCGUGCAGGAUGAAGGCCUUCGGGUUGUAAACUGCUUUUGUACGGAACGAAAAGACUCCUUCUAAUAAAGGGGGUCCAUGACGGUACCGUAAGAAUAAGCACCGGCUAACUACGUGCCAGCAGCCGCGGUAAUACGUAGGGUGCGAGCGUUAAUCGGAAUUACUGGGCGUAAAGCGUGCGCAGGCGGUUAUAUAAGACAGUUGUGAAAUCCCCGGGCUCAACCUGGGAACUGCAUCUGUGACUGUAUAGCUAGAGUACGGUAGAGGGGGAUGGAAUUCCGCGUGUAGCAGUGAAAUGCGUAGAUAUGCGGAGGAACACCGAUGGCGAAGGCAAUCCCCUGGACCUGUACUGACGCUCAUGCACGAAAGCGUGGGGAGCAAACAGGAUUAGAUACCCUAG